AAGUGAAACAACCCCAGAGAGGUCACAGGUCAUCAACGCUCACCAAGCAAGGAGUUUUUCUAUGGAGAUCAAUGAGUGUCGAAUUUACUUAACAAAAGAAAAGGUUAAUUUGGGACGUGUGACUUCUCUGAUGGAAUAGAAGGUCCGUAGUGAUUAGGUUGUUAUCAGUGUACUGAUAUACGUAGGACACGUCACAUCCCUACACUAUCUGGGAGUUGUUCCGUAGUGAUUAGGUUGUGGCAUCCCAACACUAUCUGGGAGUUGUUCCGUAGUGAUUAGGUUGUUAUCAGUGUACUGGUAUACGUAGGACACGUGACAUCCCAACACUAUCUGGGAGUUGUUCCGUAGUGAUUAGGUUGUGGCAUCCCAACACUAUCUGGGAGUUGUUCCGUAGUGAUUAGGUUGUGACAUCCCAACACUAUCUGGGAGUUGUUCCGUAGUGAUUAGGUUGUGGCAUCCCAACACUAUCUGGGAGUUGUUCUGUAGUGAUUAGGUUGUUAUCAGUGUACUGGUAUACGUAGGACACGUGACAUCCCAACACUAUCUGGGAGUUGUUCCGUAGUGAUUAGGUUGUUAUCAGUGUACUGGUAUACGUAGGACACGUGACAUCCCAACACUAUCUGGGAGUUGUUCCGUAGUGAUUAGGUUGUGGCAUCCCAACACUAUCUGGGAGUUGUUCCGUAGUGAUUAGGUUGUUAUCAGUGUACUGAUAUACGUAGGACACGUGACAUCCCAACACUAUCUGGGAG